AGUUGAAUGAAAUCAAGAAUUACUCCAGUAAAUUCAGAGAGAAAAUGGAAGAAAUUCGAAAGUCAGUACCAAAUCUUAUAAUUUAAUUUUACAACCAUGCAAUAAUUCAAAUUUUUCUUUGUAUUUUUUCAACCAAUCAGAUUGACAACUAAUGAUCAAAUAUCUGGGCGUAUUUCAGGUACGUUGACGAGAAUCGAGAAAGUGCAUUGGAGAAGAUCGAGACAAAACUGCAAUCGAUUGAACAGCAAAUAAAUAAAUUCAGUGAAGAAAGAGGGAAGCUGACGUCACAAGUCGACACACUGAAGGAUGAUUUAUCACAGAGAAAGGUUAUGCACUAUUUAAAACACGAGUGUUUUAUCAGAUAUAAAAC